UGUCGUGAGAUUACAGAGGGGUCCAUGU
rnacentral:piRNA from 1 species